rnacentral:rRNA from 1 species
UACGUAGGGGGCAAGCGUUGUCCGGAAUCAUUGGGCGUAAAGAGCGUGUAGGCGGCCAGAUAAGUCCGCUGUGAAAACCCGAGGCUCAACCUCGGGCCUGCAGUCGAUACGGGCAAACUAGAGUACUGCAGGGGAGACUGGAAUUCCUGGUGUAGCGGUGAAAUGCGCAGAUAUCAGGAGGAACACCGGUGGCGAAGGCGGGUCUCUGGGCAGUAACUGACGCUGAGGAGCGAAAGCGUGGGGAGCGAACAGG